rnacentral:rRNA from 1 species
UACGUAGGGUGCAAGCGUUGUCCGGAAUUAUUGGGCGUGAAGAGCGUGUAGGCGGCCCGGUUAGUCCGCUGUGAAAGUCCAGGGCUCAACCCUGGAAUGCCGGUGGAUACUGUCGGGCUAGAGUCCGGAAGGGGCGAGUGGAAUUCCAGGUGUAGCGGUGAAAUGCGUAGAUAUCUGGAGGAACACCGGUGGCGAAGGCGGCAUCCUGGACCGGUAUUGACGCUGAGGCGCGAAAGCUAGGGGAGCAAACGGG